rnacentral:rRNA from 1 species
CUCAGGACGAACGCUGGCGGCGUGCCUAAUACAUGCAAGUCGAGCGGACAGAAGGGAGCUUGCUCCCGGAUGUUAGCGGCGGACGGGUGAGUAACACGUGGGUAACCUGCCUGUAAGACUGGGAUAACUCCGGGAAACCGGAGCUAAUACCGGAUAGUUCCUUGAACCGCAUGGUUCAAGGAUGAAAGACGGUUUCGGCUGUCACUUACAGAUGGACCCGCGGCGCAUUAGCUAGUUGGUGAGGUAACGGCUCACCAAGGCGACGAUGCGUAGCCGACCUGAGAGGGUGAUCGGCCACACUGGGACUGAGACACGGCCCAGACUCCUACGGGAGGCAGCAGUAGGGAAUCUUCCGCAAUGGACGAAAGUCUGACGGAGCAACGCCGCGUGAGUGAUGAAGGUUUUCGGAUCGUAAAGCUCUGUUGUUAGGGAAGAACAAGUGCAAGAGUAACUGCUUGCACCUUGACGGUACCUAACCAGAAAGCCACGGCUAACUACGUGCCAGCAGCCGCGGUAAUACGUAGGUGGCAAGCGUUGUCCGGAAUUAUUGGGCGUAAAGGGCUCGCAGGCGGUUUCUUAAGUCUGAUGUGAAAGCCCCCGGCUCAACCGGGGAGGGUCAUUGGAAACUGGGAAACUUGAGUGCAGAAGAGGAGAGUGGAAUUCCACGUGUAGCGGUGAAAUGCGUAGAGAUGUGGAGGAACACCAGUGGCGAAGGCGACUCUCUGGUCUGUAACUGACGCUGAGGAGCGAAAGCGUGGGGAGCGAACAGGAUUAGAU